rnacentral:lncRNA from 1 species
AAAAAAGAAUAGCAAAGCUAACAGACAAUCUAUUACUUAGACCUGAAAAUAAAUAUAAUUAAUCAGAAUUUUAAAAUGAGUGUAUAUAGGAAGCCAUUCUAUGAACUCCUACUUAUACCAAACUGGUCCAUGAACCCAACUAUUUAGAAGAAGGCAGCUUUUAGAUACUAUUUUAGGAGGGCCAUCAUGUACUCUACAAAAAUAGCUGAUAUGAAGCAAGAAAUUGAAUAUAUUAUGGAUAUAGGAAAGAAGCAUGGGUACAAUAGAUCAUUCUUGCAAGGUAUACUAAAGUCAGUAUGGGAGAAUCUUAGUAAGACAAAUAAAAACCCACCUGGACACCCCUACCUCCACUGCUCAACAAGAAGGUUACCUACUUAUGCCCAUACAACUUGAAAGGAUUUAAUGUAGUAGAUAAAGUAGCAAAAAAGCAGAAAAAGAAAUUAGCAAUACUAUUAUCUUUAACCUCCUAAGAAAUGAAAAAGAUCCUUUAGAAGAUUUAGAAAAACAAGGAGUAUACAGGAUUCCUGUGGAGUAUAUCAGAACCCAACAAGCGGCAUCAUAUAUAGGUAUAAUUAAAAGAACUCUCUCCCAGAAUAGAGGAAUAUAAGAUGGAUAUAAAGGAAGGAAAGCUAACUACUAUAUUAUUGAUAAAAUAAUAUAAUAAUGAUCUUAAGAUAAGAUGGGAUGAUGUGAAGAUCAUAAAAUCAGUUAAUACAUCAAGGCAAGUCUUAACUACAGAGACUUUAGAAAUCAUGCAGAGAUAAAACAAAUUAAAAGAUUAUUGAAUGAUAGAUCAGCUCUGGAACUACCUCAUGCAUAGACCUAUGCAGUUGAAACAACAUACAGACAGCAAAGGCACUU